rnacentral:rRNA from 1 species
GGGGAAUAUUGGACAAUGGGCGCAAGCCUGAUCCAGCCAUGCCGCGUGAGCGAAGAAGUAUUUCGGUAUGUAAAGCUCUAUCAGCAGGGAAGAAAAUGACGGUACCUGACUAAGAAGCCCCGGCUAACUACGUGCCAGCAGCCGCGGUAAUACGUAGGGGGCAAGCGUUAUCCGGAUUUACUGGGUGUAAAGGGAGCGUAGGCGGCAAGACAAGUCUGAUGUGAAAGCCCGGGGCUCAACCCCGGGACUGCAUUGGAAACUGUUUAGCUAGAGUGUCGGAGAGGUAAGUGGAAUUCCUAGUGUAGCGGUGAAAUGCGUAGAUAUUAGGAGGAACAUCAGUGGCGAAGGCGACUUACUGGACGAUAACUGACGCUGAGGCUCGAAAGCGUGGGGAGCAAAC